AUGCUUUACUAUACGCACAAUGAACUCAGUGCAGAUCGGUUUAGUCACCGUGCUGAGAGUACAUGGAUAUCGCCUUGUGUAAAUUGGGAUACUGGUUUGCAGUAAGGUUCGAAAGAUCGUGAGGUCUAUCAGAAUACCGGGCAAAGUCCUAAAGAUAAGUGUAUGUACUAAUUGUAGAUGUAGUAAAUUGUUCAAAUCCGGUCGCAGCAAUAAUAGAGAGCCGCUCUGCGGUGCUGAAGCCUGAUGCCUAUAGUUUGGUACUCUAUAGGAGUUAAGUAAGGUAAUACCAACAUAAGCUGUUUGUCGUGAUGAUUUAGAAAUGAAUCGUAUAAGACCGGUUAUUGGAUCGAGUAGCCCAAGACAAUUAAUUAUUCUAAUCAAAUUAUAGCUAUGGUCUAUAAGUACAAGAAUAUUGGUCAUACUGAAUGAUGGGUGAAAGUUGUGAGUGAAGAAUCUCGCCGAUGGUUGUGGAGUGAUCCACUGGGCAAAAAGCGUAUGAGCGACGGUUCAUAUGCUCAGUUUUGUCUACAUCGUGACAGAAUAUUAUGGGUCUAUGAUUGGCAAUCCGAAGGGAUCAUUGUGCUUAUAAUAAAGC
rnacentral:ncRNA from 1 species